UCCUGGCUCAGAACGAACGCUGGCGGCAGGCUUAACACAUGCAAGUCGAACGCCCCGCAAGGGGAGUGGCAGACGGGUGAGUAACACGUGGGAACAUACCCUUUGGUGCGGAACAACAGCUGGAAACGGCUGCUAAUACCGCAUGCGCCCUACGGGGGAAAGAUUUAUCGCCGAAGGAUUGGCCCGCGUCUGAUUAGCUAGUUGGUGAGGUAAUGGCUCACCAAGGCGACGAUCAGUAGCUGGUCUGAGAGGAUGAUCAGCCACACUGGGACUGAGACACGGCCCAGACUCCUACGGGAGGCAGCAGUGGGGAAUAUUGGACAAUGGGCGCAAGCCUGAUCCAGCCAUGCCGCGUGAGUGA
rnacentral:rRNA from 1 species